UACGAAGGGGGCUAGCGUUGUUCGGAAUCACUGGGCGUAAAGGGCGCGUAGGCGGCCAUAUACGUCUGGGGUGAAAGCCUGUGGCUCAACCACAGAAUUGCCUUCGAUACUGUAUGGCUCGAGACCGGAAGAGGUAAGUGGAACUGCGAGUGUAGAGGUGAAAUUCGUAGAUAUUCGCAAGAACACCAGUGGCGAAGGCGGCUUACUGGUCCGGUUCUGACGCUGAGGCGCGAAAGCGUGGGGAGCAAACAGG
rnacentral:rRNA from 1 species